rnacentral:rRNA from 1 species
AAACGACUCUCGGCAACGGAUAUCUCGGCUCACGCAUCGAUGAAGAACGUAGCAAAAUGCGAUACUUGGUGUGAAUUGCAGAAUCCCGUGAACCAUCGAGUUUUUGAACGCAAGUUGCGCCCGAAGCCAUUCGGUCGAGGGCACGCCUGCCUGGGCGUCAUGU